GCCCGCGGCGGAUUGCCGGCAGCCCGCAGCCGGAACGCGGACACGUCGCUUCGCAGCACCGCCGCCCCGAGCCCGUCCGCAGGAGCGGCCCCGAGCGACGCAGUGACCCCGAGCUCCGCAGUGGGUCCGACCGCGGGACUCUGCCGACCGCGGCCCCGCAGCGCUGUCCCGGAACGGAGGGGCGGCCCCAGACCCGGGGAGCGGAGCGUUACGAGUGCGGCUGCGCAGAAUCAUCGCCGUGUGGCAGUGCUCCGCAGCGCGUGGGACGCGGCCUGAGCCACUCGGGGCUGCAGGAGGACGAAGCCCCGGCCCUGCGCUACCGCUAACCUGCUAUCCGCUACUACAUGACAACAUCUGACUGUAUCCUCGCCGUUCCCUCUGAAAACUUACAUAUCAGGGUUAGCAGAAACGUCAUAGAUAGAAAUACAACAGUACUUCAUAAACAUAAAGCAAACAGGGAGGCACCUGACUGAUGGCCUGCAAGGACGGACCAGAUGGAGGAGCCAGCAUAGGAAAUCCUCUUCACCCAGAACAUUUUGGGAGAUAGGAAUGUCACAUAUUUAGAAGAACACAUUCUCAGGAUCAUCCCUUUCUGUUUAUAAAUAUUUCUAAAUAAAAUAAUUUUAAAGACACUUUUGCAUUCUAAAUCUGUUCCUGUCAGUCUGUGGUUUUCUGCACACAGUGGUGCAUAAGUUGCUUCAGAAAAACAAAACCAGAUUCAAGAAAGGUGCUUAAAUUUAUGCAUUUUUUUUUUUUUAAGUAAGCUUCUUUUGCAUUACCUACAUUUUGCAGAAAAUACUCAGUUUCACUGCUGUGUGAGGAUGAUUCUCUCUCAGUCACUGCGAGGACAGCAUCCCGUAUUUCUGAAAGCCAAUUCAAUAGCACGAACCAAUGCAUUUUCAGGAUGAAGUGAACCGUUUGCAUACAGGUGUUCUGAGAAGCCAGAGCUCCCUCUACCGACUGAGACUGCAGGAAGGACACUUGUCCUGCAUACAGAAAAAGGUACGGAGGCACUGUCAGUAAUUACUCAUCCACAUCUGUACCAAAUCAUCUGAAGUACUGUUUCCUGUUAAACCUUUCCACAUAUGAAGAUCACUAAAAAAUUCUGACAUAAAGAUGUCAUCCUCAUCUAAUAAGUGUCAAAUAGCAACACAGAAAUAACCAAAAGUACAGAAAAAAUUAACAACUGACAGAAAAUAGGAACCUGCUUCGCUCUUCUCACUGUUAUGGCAUUCCAGGUCAACGGAUGCAGCUUCUCCAAUUAAAAUUUCUUUGCUUCACUCACAAACACUGCUAAUUCAAACCUCCUUGCCCACCUCACUGGACAUCGUUCUGCUCUGGUGAGGGCAUCUGUCCUGCACACCUUCAGUGCUGACAGAAAUUGGGGCACUCCAGAAGUAACAUCUCCUAUUUAUUUCCACAGAAACUACAGCAGCUACAAAGAGCACAGAGCGCUGUUGGAUAGAGCACACGCUCAGAUACAGGACACUAUUUUCCAACAUAGUCAUCAUCAUUAGUUGUGCAUUUCAGCUCAUGCUGAAAAAGAGAUUGCAUGCCAUGCUCGUGACUGCAGGCACUGCUGGCACACAGCACCCAUCCCUCACUGUGCUCACAGUGGUCCCCAAACAUGUUCAGUGUCAAUGAACGCACACGAGAUGCUCCUGGCUGCACAGCACCGAUCAGCAUGGGCUGAGGAAAAGGGUCAGAAGCUACUAAGUGUGCAUAUAACAUCUUUACUGGCAUUACUCAUUUUUAUAUUCUGCAACAGACCUGAACUAAUAACAGUUACUCUCUUCAGACGUCAAUUAUACUAAAAUUAAUUUCUUCGCUCUUCCGUAUUUCAGUGCCCUUCCACUUUGCCCAUAAAGAAGACUUUGAGCACAAGGUCACUCCAGUGCUUCACAAAGGUGACAGCCACCAGGCAGGGAAAGGCAGUGCCUGGCACAACAUGGUCAUCCAAAGCAAUUAAGCAACUGAAGAUCAAUUUCUGUGCCUGUAAAACAACCCUCAGCCUACUCUUGACCCAUCACUCUGCAAUUACACCACUACACAAUCUGCUGUUAUCUUAUCUUGUUGCAAGAUGCAAACAAUGCAACCCUAUCCCUGCACAAAGCACCAACACUGUGUUGUGGCCCUUCUGCUGGAGCAGGAGAGCAGUGGUCACUGUGGCAGGGGCUCGAGCUGUGCUAGCACACACUGCACACAGCUACUGAAUUGUGUCUUCUGGAAGUUCAGAGCUGUAGCUCCAGCUAUUUGCAGCAUUACCUUUGAGAUUUCCUGAGACUGAAGUGAGCCUGAUGCCCUUACACACCAACCCACCCAGAUUUCUGUGGUACAUCACUGCUGAGUAUGCAAUAUGCUCCUAUUCACAGUGAAGAAAAGGUCCUACUCUUCAUUACAAACCACGCCAACUCCGCACAAUCUGUGCUGUUUUAAUGUGAUUCGGCUGCAGGUGCUGCAAGUUGAUAUCAAUAUAUUAUUUCCAGAAGGGCUCAUGACUAACCUCAUCUGUUUAUAUGACAAAAAUUAUUUUUAAUGUAAAAGUGGUGCUUCAGGGAUAAAACUACAAAAUGUUUUAUGUAGAAUCUGUUAUGGUAAAAUUCCAGAAACAUUUACCAUCUACAGGCAUUGAAUGCGAGAACAAAUGUUACUGGGUGCUGCAGAGAAUACUGCUUAUUAUUUUGUGAGAUGUGUGACAGCUUAAGCAGUCUUUUACAGACAGCCCAAAUAAUGCUUCCACGUGGUGUUAAUGAUACACAAAGUUGCUGCAUCAUUACAGGCAGCUGUCCCAGCAACCAUUAAUAUGUCACCAGAGUGCCUAUUUAGAAAGGGUCAUUAGAAAGUACCUAAGAAAAGCAGGUUACUGAUAGUAGCCUUUAUGUGACGCUCACGAUGUCAGUACUGCCGCAGGAAAAUACUGAGGAGUCCACAAAGUACAGAUUAGCAAUUGUUACACAACCGAAGCACAUGCAGCCUUUGUUUUUAAAUAGAUAGUAACAGAAUAUAGAUUUAAGUUGGCAACCAAUAGCUAAAGAUACUUAAAAUAUUUAUGAGAGCUGAUCACUGAAAAUGAAAACAGGGUGAGAACACAGCAGAGCUGAAGUGCACAGAGCCUCAGAAAGCUGCUCUGGGGGAUCUCAGCAGAGGGGUCUCUGCUCAGUGCUGGCACAGACAAACUUUGAGUUGCUCUGCUUUUUAAGGUACUUGAUCUUGUAUCUUCAGCAUUUCCUCUGUUAAAAUCUGUCCAAAGCUCAGUGAUCUCAAUAUGUGACAGUCUCAACUCCGUACCACAGAAUCAUGGACUGGCAGAGGCAGGCAGGGUCCUCCACCAGGGCUGUACAGCCCCACAUCCAGGCUGGAGACCCCCAAGGAGAGAGAGCCCUCCGCUGUGGGUGGCGGGACUGCCCACACCGCCAUAUUUAGAGGGUCCCUCCAGUGCUGCACUUUCUGCCCACUGCCAUCUACACUUGCUCCUGGGCACUGCAGAAAAGCCUGGCUCCGUGCUCCCUGCAGCCCACCUUUGGGAACUGACGCUGGUAAGGUUCCAACACAGAGAGCAACCUCCCACCAAAGUACAGCUGCUACUUCUGUAGCUCUGGAACUUUAACACUGUUUUGCUUGUUCAUGUCCUGUAACUCCUUACCCCACAAAAAGCUCCGUGAAAGCCAGGAAGUCUCACACCACCACUUCUAAGCCACCAAAGUCCUAAUUUCACAGCUCAGUGGGCUGCUUUUAAAGAAAAAAAAAGGCUUUAUGCAAAAAUAUUUAAAUGUACACUGUUAGAAAUACAGCAUCAAAGGAAGUAUCUCCACAAAACUUUAAUUACUGCAUUAUUUUCCAUGCUGUGAGUCUUUUUUUUUUUUUUUAAACAGAGCCUGACAACACGAAGUAGGAUUUUCUUAUUACACAUGGAAACACAUGUAAAUGAGGUGUUAGGACAAAUCUGAUUUGUGGUUUUGGGAUAGCACUUCGCCCUUCUAUUUCAACAGAAACUGAAGAGAACAGACAAGAGAACAAUACUGUGAGCUAAAAAUAUGCUGCAUGCAGAGCAUUAUUCAGAAUUCACUUCCCCUUACGCCACAAGCACCGUGUCCUUAACUCCCACUUGGAACACAGGACUUCAGCAUCACACAGGAUUGGACCCCCCAGUACUCGUUAUUCUGGAGAACCAUACAAACAUGGGUUAAUGCUCACAACAUCAAUAUAAGCCCUGACUGUUCUCAGGGGAUUAGCAAAACGAACAAGAAAUAAAGACUCUUCUCUCCAUAACUUUGCAGCAUCCACAUACAAAGCAUGGGGAGAUAAACAAUACAAAGCAUGGGGAGAUAAACAAUACAAAGCAACCAAACAAAAACCCCUCCUGGGUUAAGGAAGCAAUAUUUUGAAGAGAUUAACCUCCUAAACUUCCUGGAAACAUAUUUAGUGUGGGGGUCAUGAUGAGGUUAUAAGCACAAAAAAGGAAGUGUAGAUGCAGAUCAUCAGGAGGCAGAUGAAAGCUGACCCACCGCACAAAGCAGACAUGCUGGAGGAAGAGAAGGUUCUAAGAAAGGAAGAAUGAGGCCUAACAAGAAGUCUUGGGUUCUCUGGAUCUGGAGCGACACACAGGACUUAAACUGCAGAUACAAAAACUAUAAAAUGGUUUCCAGUACAAGAACAAAGAUCAGCUCAUACAGUUAUAACAAAGAGUUCGGGGGGAAAACGUGGAGAUGAGGUAGGGACACUGUAGUAGGAAUAUCAGCUGCGAAAGGCAGUGAUUAGGGGAACGGGGCUGAUAGCAGAAAAUACUGCCAUGUCAGAUAAGGGGUUUUUUUUGUUUGUUUCUUUUUCUGCUAAGGACUUUGAUGCAGAACUCACACGUAUGGGGCAGGUAUGAGAAACUUCUUCCCUACAAGAGGACCCUGAAGAGCAUGCCCAGGAAUGCAGGUUCUGCCAUCUGCUUCAGGUCUGAGGAGUCUCACCUUCUAACAACUGCCCCAUGACAGCACAGUCUCAGUUUCUAAGUACAAAUGGACGUCUCAUUAAAAAAAAAAAACUUAUUUUUCAACUUCUGCCACUUACCUCAUUAGCACAGCCAUACUGAUGAAGGUAAGUUGGCUUUUUUUCCCCCCCCUUCCUCCAAACUAUCGCAGGUACAGCACCUGGUGUUAAAAAUUAAGUAAAAUGGUAGGCCCAAAUGUACAACAAAAUGAAUCAAGAACAUUAUGCUCAGAACACCAUUUCUGUAGGCAGAGGAGAGCAUAUACUUAAACCACGGUGCAGGGUAACUUCACACAGAAGGAUGAAGCGUGAAGCGUUGGGCUUGACUCUGCAAAUAUGGAAGGUAUGGAAGUAGUCUGAAUGUGUUUAACAGCUCUUAAGCUUCAGUAGUAAACUCCAGGCAGAAGCACUUGGGCUGCUCUCCAUCUAUGCUUCACAAAUAUAUUCGCAACAGGUGAAGCUCCUGCCACGCGAAUGAGCACUGACAACUUCAGAGCAGCCUGCAAAAGCUUUUACAUGCACAUAACAAAAUAUAAUUGAAAGCUAAUUUCUCAGCAAGCCAUGUCCACUGACUUUGUCUUUACACGUACCAAAAUCUUUUGCAGUCAUGGGCAAAUUUUAGGCUUAAUAACCACAGACGCUAUGCAGCAUUACUUCGAAGCUACGGAAUACUGCAGCAAAAGAAUGCAUUGCCCCUUAUUUCAAUAUGCAAUUUGCAACAUUGCAGUAAGGAAACCACUACAAGAAAAUAAAACGCCCAUUAGUUCUUCUAGAUGACAACAUCUAAACAUUGGAAAGAAAAGAAAAAGAGAAGGGAAAGCAGAGCAGGAAUUUCUGCUAGAGGAGCAGCACCGAGCACGGUGCAGGGAUGAGUGCUCAGGCAACAGGCAGGGCUCAGAGCGGCCCUGAACAGACUGCCACCGUGCAUCUGACUGGGGCAGAAGAGCUCCACAACAAAGGGCAGCCACCGACUACAGAGCGCAACAGGCAGUGGGUGCUGGAAAUUCAGCUGAGGACAGAAGACAUUCAGCAGAAAAAGAGAGAAUAACAUUGCUUGACUGCAAUUCUCACAUUACACAUUUUUUGUCACUUAAAUCACAGUAUUUUCACUGAAUACGUUGCUUCUUUGUCCUUGUGAGUUGUACAGUCCCUACAGAACAGAUACGUUCACAACAGAUGGAUGCUGCAACUCAGUAUUUUUCAGAUCACACUUGGACUUCUGAAAUUUUAAAGAAUUUCAAAGCAAAGAAUGCCAGCCUGCUGACGUUCACAUUUCUUCACUGUCAUCCAACAAACACCAACAUCAAGAAAGUGAAAUUGGUGGUGCUUUAUUUUUAAAACAUUUUUUUGAAAGACUGAGAUCACAAAGAAGGUAACUCAGCAUAGUCAUGAGGAAGUUGACGUGAAAUGAGAUCAAGGACAGAUCUGCUACAUACACAAUCGAUACAGUCCUUCCCUGACCUUGAGACCCCAUCUGGAAUACUAGAUGACCUUUAAGGACCCCUCCAAGCCAUUCUAUGAUAUGAUUAUACCAAAAACUGAUAAAACCAUGCAUGUCUGAAUGAAGUUUGUACACUCAUGGAAGAACAAGAAAAUAUUUUUAUACUGUUAGUCCUAGAGAUGCCAGGAAUUAGCUGCUGCAUAGAAUUCUCUAUAGCAAACUGGGUUCCAAGUUUGUUUGUUUGUUUUUUUUUUUUUUUAAAUGUCUUCCAUGCUUUCAUGGCUAGGCAACUGCUCUCAUCAGAGAUAAUUCACUGAUUUUAGUUAUUGAUAAAGAUGUAAUAAGCUGACAAAUUAAACAGCAGCAUCACUCAGCAGAUGAUCUCCCAGCUGGAAAAUUUCUACUGCCAUGGACACUCAUGAUGGACAUCCAUGGAAAAUAAAACCGAGCAACUCUGAAGCUCUAUACUGCUCACAGGCUCCAACAGGCAUGGCUUUCAUUUCAGCACCUUUCUAAGGUACGAGAUGUUGUAUGGCACCAAUGCCUACGAUAGGAACCACAGACACAGCUCCAUACUGCCAGUAUGGUUUCCUUGGUCAUUUACAGCCAGUAAGUAAGUAAAAACAAUUUUCACCAAUUCUUGCUUGUUUUGGUAUUUUCCACACUGCAGAAAGCCACUGUUUGGAAUCCACAGCAGUUUUUGGUUUUCUUUACUAUCUUCAGAACAUCUGUUUCCAUCAUCAUCCUUAGGCAAGAACCAGAUGUUCCUCCAGACACUAUUCAGCUUUCAUCAGUCAUAGCUGGAGCUAGUUAAAUGCAGAUUGACAACUUACACACACAUCCAUCUUUUGUAAAGUUAUGAGACAAUUUCAGGACUAGGGUGGAUAAAUGAUGUAUUUGAGAUGAUUCACCCCAUAGCCUUUUAGUUUAAAAAAAAAAAAUGGCACCACACAGAAGCACAACUGCAGAAUGCCACAUAGGUGAGCACUGGGUAACCCAGUUGCAUUUGAAAUUGAACGCUGUUAAAUAGCCAGAUGAAGACUGAUAUUUACCUUGUAAUUUUACAUGUGUAAGUAAGUGCAAAAUCAGAAUGAGUACUGUCUCAGGUUGAGUCUGUGUUCAAGCAUGUCAACUCUGAAGUAAACUGAAUCUUGCAUGA